CAGAAGACCCCUCAUCAUCUCUAAACUACAGGAGAGAGCAAAAGGAAGUGAACUGGGUGACAGGGUGGUAGUGGUGGUGGGGGUGGUUAGAUCACUUGUCAGCUUGUAGACUUUGUGCUCUGGACAAUUUUAUAUGGACAGGGUGAUGACAGCAGUGGUCCAGACCCCUAGAGAUCUUCUAGUCAUCCAGGGAUGUUGUGAUAUAUUCAAGGCCAGAAGUUUUGCCUGCCUAUCAGAGCCAACAGCCCUUUCAGAUGAGAGAAGAUGUGAGCUGAUCAACUUUUUCCCUUUUCUUUCAGGUAGAGUUUCUUCAGGACUUGAAAUGCCAAUGUCACAGCUCAAGAAAUAAUGAUUUUAUUACUUCUUUGGAGAGUGAGACUGUUGCUUCCUGGGUCUGGAACCUGGAGCUGGAAACAAAUGCUUGGGGACCUUACUGCACCCCCAAGGGAGAUGUCUGGUAGCCUGGAGUUGGUGUGGCAGGAAAGAAGGCCCUUUGUUAGACUCAUCCUUGCACUCUGGGAGGCAGAGAUGGAGGGACCUGCCAACAUAGAGCCAAACAGUGACUCACCUAUACAGUAAUGUAGUUGACAGCACUUGUGCCUUGUUAUCUCACCAAGUCUUCAGGACAACCUGAAGAGGCAAGCAGGGCAGACAGCACUGUGAGGACACUGGGGCUGAGAGAAACAAAGUGUGUCUCCUGAAGUUACCUGGCUGGAGAGCAUUGAGGCUGGUAUAUGACCUCAGAGCACACAAGGCUAGAUCCAGUGUUUUAGCUAUAUCACCCUGCUUUCUAGGAAAUGGAAAUUUUCCAUACUUAGAGACCAUUCUUGUAAAUUUCAACUGCCAUGACCAUUUCUAUUUAAAACAUUGGUGGGGUGAACCCUUAGUUCUAAGCUUGAAGACCCAGGUCUGGUGUCACCAUGUCCAGAAGCUCUUCUUAAUUUCAACCUCUCAGCUUGGAUUUAGGUACCUUUCCACUGGCAUCUUUACCUCAAUGAUAGCAUUUACUACUUUUUUUGUUUACUUAUGACUUGUUUGCUUAUUUGGUCUCAGCUGCUAAGAUGUGAGUUACUCUGGAUAUGGGUCUUAUUCGUUGGCCUAAAAUAUAGUUGGUGGGCUUUGAACUGAAUGUCUUUGCCUGAAUUCUUUGUCUCUGCAUGGAGUUAGUGUCUCUCUUUCCCUCUUGACAUUUUCAUGUCUCCUACUCCCUACUCUCAGGAAAGGAUCUUACACUCUCCUCACCCUGAGGUAUGAGUGAUUGAGAAGCUGAUGCAGAAUUCUUCCUUGUGGUAUCUGCAUUUUAAUAAUCAAC
rnacentral:lncRNA from 1 species